GAUGAACGCUGGCGGCGUGCCUAACACAUGCAAGUCGAACGAAGCACUUUGAAGUUUUCGGACGGAUGAGUGACUGAGUGGCGGACGGGUGAGUAACGCGUGGGUAACCUGCCUCAUACAGGGGGAUAACAGUUAGAAAUGACUGCUAAUACCGCAUAAGCGCACAGUACCGCAUGGUACAGUGUGAAAAACUCCGGUGGUAUGAGAUGGACCUGCGUCUGAUUAGCUAGUUGGUGAGGUAACGGCCCACCAAGGCGACGAUCAGUAGCCGACCUGAGAGGGUGACCGGCACAUUGGGACUGAGACACGGCCCAAACUCCUACGGGAGGCAGCAGUGGGGAAUAGUGCACAAUGGGGGAAACCCUGAUGCAGCGACGCCGCGUGAGUGAAGAAGUAUUUCGGUAUGUAAAAGCUCUAUCAGCAGGGAAGAAAAUGACGGUACCUGACUAAGAAGCCCCCGGNUAACUACGUG
rnacentral:rRNA from 1 species